CCAGAUUUGAACUCAGGAAGAAGAGUCUUCCUGUUCCCAAGAUAAGGAAGAUGAGAAUGAAGAAAGUUAAAUGACAUACCCUAAGUUAUGGAGUCUGAGGCAAGAUUCUGAGCUCAUGGCUUCUUGAUCUCAAGUCUAAGUCUUUAUUUAAUAUGUUGCCUAGCCACCUCAUAAAGAGGGAGACAUGAAGGAGACAUUAUGCCUAGAAAAGGAAGGAGAUUGGUUAUGUGGUAAGAGUAUAGUUCAAAUGCUCCAUUGGAUACCCAUGUAAUGCCAAGAGAACCAGAGAAAAUCUAUCAACAUAUGGGUGAACCCCAAUAAGAAAAUUGUGGAAGAACAAGAAGAAUCUUUCAAGAUGAAAGGGCAUGUCUAGGUUGUGAUCUUUAAUCCUAGAAGGAAUACUCACAAUGAGGAGAUCACAUCAAAGUAUCAAAAUUUUUAUUUCUCUGGAUCUUGUGUCUAGUCCCAGAAUUUUCCAUUUGUGUAAGUGUAGACUUCUUCUCUCAAGGGAAGAAACAAUGGAGUCUUCAUAGAAAUCCAUAUAUGCCAUCAAGAGGCCAUUUCUUCAUAUCUUCCUACUAUUCCUGGGUCAUAAAGUCAUAAAAACUACUUCUAAAAAAGACAUGUCUUAGAGAGAUUUUGAAAUAUGUAGCUUGUAUCAGUCUUCUUACUACAUGGUCAAUAGCAGCUUCUUUACUUGGAUAUAGGCAUCCCUAUUUUAUUGCACUUUGCAGAUGUUGCUUUUUUUUUUAAACAAAUUGAAGAUUUAUGACAACCUUGCAUGGAGUGAGUCAAUUGAUGGUAUUUUCCCCAACAACAUACUCAUAUUUUAUGUCUCUGUCACAUUUUGGUCAUUCUUACAAUAUUUAAAAACUUUUUUUAUUAUUUUAUCUGUUAUGUUGAUCUUUGACCAGUGAUGUGAAAAUUGGAUGAGGGUUUAGUUUCUACAGAGUGAUGAAAUUUAAAUUAGAAAAAUGAAACUUAAAUUAGAAAAAAAAA